AAAAUGACACCUAUAUUAGCAACCAAAACAACAACAACAACAACAACAACAACAAUAAUGAAAAUGAUGAUGAUGAUGAUGAUGAUGGUGGUGAUGGUGGUGGUCGUCGUGGAAGCUGAAGUGGCAGUAGAAGGCAACAGUUAUAGCGGAUUGGUUGUGGCUGUCAGUCCUAAUAUUCCUGCUACAACUUUAGACCAGCAGAGGAAAGUUGUAGCAGAUGUCAAGGACCUUCUGACGGCUGCCUCCGAGGGUAUCUUUAGAGCUAACUUUAAUUUGCUCUAUCUCUCUCACGUGACCCUGGUGGUGCCCUCUGCAUGGGAGCUGGGAGAGGAAGGAACGCUGCCUGGAGAGUCAUGGGAGGCGGCGGACAUCAGAAUAGUGGAGGGAGAGGCAGGGACCCCCUCUCCCCCCUUGGUGAGAGCUGGGGGGCUGUGGAGUGAGAGGGGGAGAGUGGAAGUGCCAUAUGCCUAUCUUGACCCGAGCAUCCAGGCCUUUGUACGGUGACCCAGGCAAGGUAAUGGCGCAGGCGUGGUUCAAAUACAGGUACGGGGUUUAUGAAGAACAUGGCUACCCUGGAGACACGCUGUACCCACUGUCGUAUCUCGAGGUGACAACAAACAGCACACAACCAGCUCUUUGCACGGACCCAGCUGCCUUGACUGGGGUGUGGCUAAAUAGGCAAGGGGGAGCGUGCGACCCCUCUACUGCCGGGGCGGGGGAAGACUGCAGGUUCAAGAUAGAAGGUGCAGGCGGUCCCUCUUCCAUCAUGUCAAUCACGCACAUAGAACAGAUCAGCGAGGUUUGCACAGCGGACAACCACAACCCCCUCCCCCCACCCCCCAUAACAAGGUGUGCGGGGGCGCGAGCGUGUGGGAGGUAAUGAUGAAACAUUCGGACUUCGCAGGUUUACAUUUUUCGUUUAAUUUUGAAGGUACAAACGCACACACACACACACAAACGCACACACAGACACACACACAAACAAACACACACACACCCACACACACACCCACACAAACAAACACACAAACAAACACACCCACACAGACACCCACGCAGACACACACGCCCACGCAGACACACACACCCACACACACGCCCACACAGACACACACACCCACACAGACACCCACACACACACCCACUUUCAAAAUUAUACGAAAAGUUGAGAAAAAGACCCACGCCUUGUUUCUCCUUGUUGAUGUUGCUUGUGGAAUCACUUCUAAUUCACAGCCAGGGGAGUGUCCCAGCCUCGCCAUCUACAGCCAGCUACGGCAACACCUGCGGGUGAUCGUGACAGACAAACACCUGGAGUGGCUAGGCGUGGGGAAGUACUGGCUGGAAAACUUGAAACCCGAACACGAAAUAUACGAAAACCAAGUCCUGCAUAACGUGACGAACCUCAAUAUAGAGAAUCUACUUAAUUUUCUACCAGUCUCACCCGGAACUGCCUAUCAGACCCCACCGGAACCAGCCUUAAAUGAAGUACUAAGGUUGUUACAAGUUCACCAGUACCAGGGAACGGUGGAAUUGUUACUAGUACAGCUGGUAAAUAGGUACAACUCAGGGACCUCCGUUGAUGAGUCCCUGGUUAGCAAAGUGAGGUUCUGUGGGGUGCUGUACAAGAGUGAACGGUACAAUAUUUGGAUGAAGGAACUGGCUGUGAAGACUGGAGGCGCCUACACCUUCAGCGUUCUGUACAGCCCCAAGUACACAACUCAAGCCCUGAAGAACUUAGUGCCCAGUUACACCAGAAUUACAGUAAGCGAGGACACAGCCACAAUGGAGGCAGGAGAGACAGACAUACGAACUUACAUAGACUCCACAAUUGGACUUAACACAUUCUUCACCUGCACAUUUCUGGACAGAGGAGGAGGAGGAGGAGGAGGAGGAGGAGGAGGAGGGUUCAAAGUCCUAGAUCCUACAGGAGUGGAGGUACAGAGCAAGGACCCUUUCAAUGUGGAGGUUCAGGAUGCAGCAGAAGGACUGUGGAGGCUCAUCACCACCACCACCACCACCACCGCCGCCACCAUCACCACCACCACCACCCCCCGCGCCACCACUCAACCAGAUAUUAAGGUUUGGUCUUCAGCCUCUGCCGCGACCCCUCUUGACCUCACCUCCCUGCCCCUGACCCUGCACGCCCUGGUGACCCUAGAUGGUGUAGGGGUCACGGGGCUGGAGGUCAGAGGUCACGUGUAUUGCGGUGAAGAUUUGGAGGUCAUUAUGAUGGAUGAUGGCUAUGGAGACCCAGACGUAACAGAGGGAGACGGUGUAUACAGUGGCUAUGUAAUCGAUUACACUGGAGGGAGCGGGGAGGUGACAGGCGUGGCAGGGGUCACCAUCCGCCCCUCCUCCUCCUCCUCCUCCUCCUCCUCCUCCUCCUCCUCCAAGUCUUCCUCAAGAGUUAUGCCUGAAGAUCCAUUCUCUCCCGGGUUCUGCUGCGGCUCCUACGCCCCUGGAGUUCCUGCCCCCCUCACGAGAGACCUGCCGGCCACCACCACCUUCACCACCACUGGGACGCCGCCCUGGGACCCAAAAGACCCGCCGCCCAGCAGAGUUACCAGCGUGGCAGUAGAGGCAGCAGCAGAAGGCCCUGAGGUAGGAAGUGGCACUGUCCUGGUAACACUGUCUUGGCGGGCACCCGGGGCGGACCUAACUCGUAAUCAAGUGACGGGAUACGAGCUGAGGUACACGGAGUCUGGGCAAGAGACGAUCAGUGGCUGUGUUGCCUGCGCUGUGGGAGAGUGGGAAGACGCCCCAGUCCCAGCGCCAUACGGAGAGAGGCAAGAAGGUGUUAUACAGCUGCCAAAAGUUUCAUUACAAGAUACAAAUUAUUUCAUCGUUAUAUUUCCUCUUGAUAAGGAGCAAAGGGGUCCUGCAAGUAAUGUAGUAAGUGUACAAGUACCAGCUGGUGUCGAGACUACUACUACUACUACUACUACUACUACUACUACUACUACUACUACUACUACUACUACUACUACUCCUACUACUACUACUAUUGCUGUUGAUACCUCCUCUUCUUCCUCCUCCUCUUCCUCUUCCUCUGAAACUACGACUGGUCUUCCUACCACUACCAUCUCUUCUUCUUCUUCUUCUUCUUCUUCUUCUUCUUCUUCUUCUUCUUCUUCUUCUUCUUCUUCUUCUUCUUCUUCUUCUUCUUCUUCUUCUUCCUCCUCCUCCUCCUCCUCUUCUACAGGGUCAACGGAGGAAACGACACCACCACCACCACCACCGCCAAACUUCCUCACCUCUGCCUGGUUCUACGUGGUGGUGGUGCUGGCUUCCUUGACUGUCCUGGGAGCUGCAGUAGCCACCGCUGUCUGCUGGGCGAAGAGAAAACGGGAAGCGAACAUCGACAGUGAAUCUGGAAUGAAAACGGGAAAGUCACAUAAUAUAAACGUUGAUUCACUGCCAAAAACUGAACUACCUCUUACUAAAUCCACAAGGAGGUUUUCAAGUUUCCUGCCAGUAUUUGGAACUACUACUACUACUACUACUACUGGUGGUGGUGGUGGUGUGAGAAGUAAGGUGAAGAAGAGGAAGGAAGAAGAGGAGGUUGAAGCAGGAAGACAGGUACUCCAAGAUGGGGGUGACUUGGGUGAGGUUAAGGAGGUUCUGAAGAAAAUUGUGGAGGAGGAGGAGGAGGAGGAGGAGGAGGAGGAGGAGGAGGAGGAGGAGGAGGAGGAGGGGAAGAAGGAGGAGGUGGUGGAGGUAAAAGAGGAAGAUGUAGAAGAUGAGAAAAUGUAAAAAAAGAGGAGGAGGAAGAUAAGGAGGAGGAGGAAGAUAAGGAGGAGGAAGAGGAGGAGGAAGAGGAGGAGGACGAAGAAGGGGACAAGCAGAACAUGAAUAAAAAGAGAAAAAGAAGAACAAAGAAGAGAGCAACAACAACAACAACAACAACAACAAUAACAAAUGAAGGAAGAGGAGGAGGACAAGAAGAAGAAGAAGAAGAAGAAGAAGAAGAAGAAGAAGAAGAAGAAGAAGAAGAAGAAGAAGAAGACUGCCAACAUAACUUACACAACAAACAAACAAACAAACAAACAAACAAACAAACUGAAAACACACAAACAAUAAAUUUUAAAGAGAAAAAAGAAAGAAAAUAGAGAGAGAAAAAAAGAAAGAAAAUGAGAGAAAAAGUAAAAAUAAGUUAAAAGUUUUGAGUUGUAAAAAAAGAAAG